UGCAAAAUAAAAUAAAAUUAUGAAAAAUAAGAUAAAAAUUAAAAUCAUAUUUGGGUAAACUUCUAAUGAAAUAUGCUUAAAAAUCAAGGCUAGUAGACUUCAUUUGAAGUCUACCAGCCGUAAGUUGUAAGUAUAUUUCAAAUGAAGUCUACUCUAUAAAAAAAAUAGAUCUGAAAAAUAAAUAUAUUAAAAAUAUGAAAUAAGUCUAAAUCUAAAAAACUUUUAAAAAUAUGAUUUAAUAGACAAAAUAGUUAUAAAUUAAAGACAUAUUAAUAUGAAUUUUAAUAUGUAACUUUAUUUGAAUAUAAAUACUAGAACACAAAUAUGCUUCCC
rnacentral:lncRNA from 1 species